rnacentral:misc_RNA from 1 species
GAUGAAGAACGCAGCGAAAUGCGAUAAGUAGUGUGAAUUGCAGAAUUCAGUGAAUCAUCGAAUCUUUGAACGCACAUUGCGCCCCUCGGUAUUCCGGGGGGCAUGCCUGUUCGAGCGUCAUUAUAACCCCUCAAGCUCAGCUUGGUGUUGGGGCCUGCCGACUGGCAGCCCUUAAAAUCAGUGGCGGCGCCAUCUGGCUCUAAGCGUAGUAAUUUCUCUCGCUAUAGAGUCCCGGUGGAUGCUUGCCAGCAACCCCCAACUUUCUAUGGUUGACCUCGGAUCAGGUAGGGAUACCCGCUGAACUUAAGCAUAUCAAUAAGCGGAGGA